CCUAACCAGCUGGUUAAUGUUCCCUUCACUAAGGUGUGAUAUCUCUCCUAACCAGCUGGUUAAUGUCACUAAGGUGUGAUAUCUCUCCUAACCAGCUGGUUAAUGUCACUAAGGUGUGAUAUCUCUCCUAACCAGCUGGUUAAUGUUCCCUUCACUAAGGUGUGAUAUCUCUCCUAACCAGCUGGUUAAUGUCACUAAGGUGUGAUAUCUCUCCUAACCAGCUGGUUAAUGUUCCCUUCACUAAGGUGUGAUAUCUCUCCUAACCAGCUGGUUAAUGUUCCCUUCACUAAGGUGUGAUAUCUCUCCUAACCAGCUGGUUAAUGUCACUAAGGUGUGAUAUCUCUCCUAACCAGCUGGUUAAUGUUCCCUUCACUAAGGUGUGAUAUCUCUCCUAACCAGCUGGUUAAUGUCACUAAGGUGUGAUAUCUCUCCUAACCAGCUGGUUAAUGUUCCCUUCACUAAGGUGUGAUAUCUCUCCUAACCAGCUGGUUAAUGUCACUAAGGUGUGAUAUCUCUCCUAACCAGCUGGUUAAUGUCACUAAGGUGUGAUAUCUCUCCUAACCAGCUGGUUAAUGUCACUAAGGUGUGAUAUCUCUCCUAACCAGCUGGUUAAUGUUCCCUUCACUAAGGUGUGAUAUCUCUCCUAACCAGCUGGUUAAUGUCACUAAGGUGUGAUAUCUCUCCUAACCAGCUGGUUAAUGUUCCCUCCACUAAGGUGUGAUAUCUCUCCUAACCAGCUGGUUAAUGUCACUAAGGUGUGAUAUCUCUCCUAACCAGCUGGUUAAUGUUCCCUUCACUAAGGUGUGAUAUCUCUCCUAACCAGCUGGUUAAUGUCACUAAGGUGUGAUAUCUCUCCUAACCAGCUGGUUAAUGUUCCCUUCACUAAGGUGUGAUAUCUCUCCUAACCAGCUGGUUAAUGUUCCCUCCUAACCAGCUGGUUAAUGUCACUAAGGUGUGAUAUCUCUCCUAACCAGCUGGUUAAUGUCACUAAGGUGUGAUAUCUCUCCUAACCAGCUGGUUAAUGUUCCCUUCACUAAGGUGUGAUAUCUCUCCUAACCAGCUGGUUAAUGUCACUAAGGUGUGAUAUCUCUCCUAACCAGCUGGUUAAUGUUCCCUUCACUAAGGUGUGAUAUCUCUC